AUGUCGUCGCUCGCCGUCGGCCGCGGGCCGGAGAGCGAGCUGUACUGGCUCGGGGGCCUCUUCACGGCCGCGGAACUGGCCGCCGCCGACCUGCUGCUAAAGCUACGCGGUGACGACGAGGAGGAGGUGGCGGCGUCCGCCGACACGUCAUCAUACUCGCGGCGGUUCCCGAGCUCCCGCCGCGAGGACCUCGCCGUGGUGGACGAGGAGUCGAAGGAGGAGCGGGCCUUCGAGGACGCCGCGACGGCGUCUGCGGCCACGCCGUUCUCCUCGAGGCGGUCUGCGAGCUCGUGCUGCCAGGUCCCCGUGGAGGCCGAGGAGGAGCCUCGGCCGAUCGUCAAGGAGACGGCGCCCUCGCUGGGGUCGAUGGAGCUGGACAGGAGGGCGAGGAAGAGGCACCGCCUGCUGUCUGAGCUGUACGCCGCCACGGCCCCGGUGACAUCAUCCUCCGCCUCCGCGAAGAAGAAGAUACGGAAGGUACACGGUGACGACGGCGCCGGCACCGUCGAGUCGUCGGUGGACCAGGAGACGAGGAACGGCGAGGGACUAGUAGCACAGAAGGGCUUCUAUGUAAUUACGCCGUGA
rnacentral:rRNA from 1 species